rnacentral:rRNA from 1 species
CCUACGGGGGGCAGCAGUGAGGAAUAUUGGUCAAUGGGCGGGAGCCUGAACCAGCCAAGUCGCGUGAGGGAAGACGGUCCUAUGGAUUGUAAACCUCUUUAGGCGGGGAGCAAUGCCGGGCACGCGUGCACGGAGGGAGAGUACCCGCAGAAUAAGCAUCGGCUAACUCCGUGCCAGCAGCCGCGGUAAUACGGAGGAUGCGAGCGUUAUCCGGAUUUAUUGGGUUUAAGGGGUGCGUAGGCGGAUUUUUAAGUCAGCGGUAAAAUGUCCGGGCUCAACCCGGGCCGGCCGUUGAAACUGGGGAUCUUGAGUGGGCGAGAAGUAUGCGGAAUGCGUGGUGUAGCGGUGAAAUGCAUAGAUAUCACGCAGAACCCCGAUUGCGAAGGCAGCAUACCGGUGCACAACUGACGCUCAGGCACGAAAGCGUGGGUAUCGAACAGGAUUAGAUACCCCUGUAGUC